AAUUAGGGUUCAUGUAAGUGUAAAUUAAUUUGGGGGUUUUUGAUAUUUCAAUUAGGCAGUAAAAUUAGGGUUAGAUUAUGGUAAUUGUGUUCAAAUACAAUUAACUUCAAUGAAAAUUUGGCAGUAGAAAUGGUCACACUACCUCCGAAUUACGAGAACAAUUUUUUUCCAGAAGUCGAAUCUAUUCUUCGUCGCCGUUUGUUUUCUGAAACCUCUGUCAUAUAACAAUCAGGUUCAGGAAACAGAAAUUGAAGCAGCUCAGGUACGAGUAAUUGUUGUUGCUCAUCCACGGAUUCGGUAUUUAUAAGAUCAAACACGUUUUUGUUUGCAAUCCUUAAGCCAUUAAGGAUACAAAUCAGACCAAAAACCAAGCUAUAAGCAAAUUAUAAGAUGAACUUUGGCUCAUUUACUACCCAAAUUAAGGAUUUGUAAAGAAAAUCGCAAAAAAAA